GACAGAGGUGCCGAGCGUUAGGCGGAAUCACUGGGCUUAAAGCGUGUGUAGGCGGGUCGUUAAGUGUCUUGUGAAAUCCCACCGCUCACCGGUGGAACGGCUGGGCAUACUGGCGACCUUGAGAGGCCUAGGGGCAGACGGAACAAGCGGUGGAGCGGUGAAAUGCGUAGAUAUCGCGUGGAACGCCGACGGCGAAAGCAGUCUGCUGGGGGCCUUCUGACGCCGAGACACGAAAGCCAGGGGAGCGAACGGG
rnacentral:rRNA from 1 species